GCUGCGCGGAGCUGAUGCAGCACGCCGCGUGCGGGAUGACGGCCUUCGGGUUGUAAACCGCUUUCGCCUGUGACGAAGCGUGAGUGACGGUAAUGGGUAAAGAAGCACCGGCUAACUACGUGCCAGCAGCCGCGGUGAUACGUAGGGUGCGAGCGUUGUCCGGAUUUAUUGGGCGUAAAGGGCUCGUAGGUGGUUGAUCGCGUCGGAAGUGUAAUCUUGGGGCUUAACCCUGAGCGUGCUUUCGAUACGGGUUGACUUGAGGAAGGUAGGGGAGAAUGGAAUUCCUGGUGGAGCGGUGGAAUGCGCAGAUAUCAGGAGGAACACCAGUGGCGAAGGCGGUUCUCUGGGCCUUUCCUGACGCUGAGGAGCGAAAGCGUGGGGAGCGAACAGGCUUAGAUACCCUGGUAGUCCACGCUGUAAACGGUGGGUACUAGGUGUGGGGUCCAUUCCACGGGUUCCGUGCCGUAGCUAACGCUUUAAGUACCCCGCCUGGGGAGUACGGCCGCAAGGCUAAAACUCAAAGAAAAUUUGACGGACGAUGACUUGGGG
rnacentral:rRNA from 1 species